rnacentral:rRNA from 1 species
AUGCUCUGUAGUCGAAAGGUCCGCCGCCGUAGGAUGGGUCUGCGGCCGAUUAGGUUGUUGUUGGGGUAACGGCCCAACAAGCCUGUAAUCGGUACGGGUUGUGGGAGCAAGAGCCCGGAGAUGGAUUCUGAGACACGAAUCCAGGCCCUACGGGGCGCAGCAGGCGCGAAAACUUUACAAUGCGGGAAACCGUGAUAAGGGAACUCCGAGUGCCCGUUAAAUCGGGCUGUCCAUCGGUUUAAAUAACCGGUGAAGAAAGGGCCGGGCAAGACCGGUGCCAGCCGCCGCGGUAAUACCGGCGGCUCGAGUGGUGGCCACUAUUACUGGGCUUAAAGCGUUCGUAGCUGGUCUGUUAAGUCUCUGGGGAAAUCUUCCGGCUUAACCGGAAGGCGUCUCAGGGAUACUGGCAGACUAGGGACCGGGAGAGGUGAGAGGUACUCCAGGGGUAGGAGUGAAAUCCUGUAAUCCUUGGGGGACCACCUGUGGCGAAGGCGUCUCACCAGAACGGCUCCGACAGUGAGGGACGAAAGCUGGGGGAGCAAACCGGAUUAGAUACCCGGGUAGUCCCAGCUGUAAACGAUGCGCGUUAGGUGUAUCGGUGACCACGAGUCACCGAGGUGCCGAAGAGAAAUCGUGA